GCCGCUGUAGCUCAGUUGGUAGAGCAACGCUUUCGUAAAGCGUGGGUCGUCGGUUCAAGUCCGGUCAGCGGCUUCA
rnacentral:tRNA from 3 species